rnacentral:sRNA from 12 species
GUAGCCCUUCGUUUCACGAACGCCCAAGUUCCACUUGGGACGCUAUGUAGUGAACGCGGGGCCUU